rnacentral:tRNA from 2 species
GCUGGCGUAGCUCAGUCAGGUAGAGCAGCUGAUUUGUAAUCAGCCGGUCGGGGGUUCAAAUCCCUCCGCCAGCUCCA